rfam:Picea glauca, whole genome shotgun sequence.
ACAUGCCUACAACAUAGCAUUAAUGCACCAUAUCCCAUUAGAACUCCACAGUUAAGCGUGCUCAAGCUAGAGUAGUAUUGGGAUGGGUGACCACCCGAGAAGUCCUAGUUUUUUACAUGCC